CUCUUCCUGACCCCACGCUCGGUGACAUCAGCUGGGAGCUUGCGAUCAGCCAGGGUGGGAGCAUUUACGCCACAGAACCUGGCACAUGCUACAGGCCAGGACUUUGUCCUUUUCCUUUUCUGGGAGUUGGCUCAGCAGCGUGCUCCUGUUGUGCUGUUCCCCUCUCUGCAGGGUCAUGUGGCCUGGCCUGCCGGCCCUCCGUCCCCGCUCCAGGACUAACCUCUGUGGAGGGAAUCACCUAACUCGAGGGAUCACGACUCCUGAGCAGUGAAGUCGCAUGAGGCCCCACAGACCCCGGGAUUGGAGGCCCAAGGACCUGCCAGUGUGCGGGGCUGGCCUCUGCAGACAGUGAAAAGCUCCCGUGGCCACGCUUGGCAGAUGCUGGGAAGUGAAGAGACAGCCAAAUGGCCAAAUUCCCCUGGAAAUUUCUCCUGGUGUCUGGCACCCUGGGAUUUUGCCUGGCUGGGUUUGUGGGCGGCUGCCAGAGGCACUGCAGAAGCUGUCAGGCUGGGCUUCCAGGGACAAAGGUGGAAGCGCCCCCACCAGAGAAGAGUGUGGGUGUCAGGCAUGGCCUGGGCUGAGACCCCGCUGUCACUUCCUGUCUGUGAUCUUGAUCAAGCUCACCCCCUGCCCUGAGCCGGCUGGUUUGUUCAUCAGUACAACAGGGUUAAUAAAUAGCACUGCCUACCCGCUGGGUGCUGUAAACAUCCUGUGGAAAGAUGGACUUUUGAAAACAUCGCGUGUCACUGUGAGGAGCUGCCGGGGUUGGAAGAGGAGUGGCUAGAUGUUCCUUGAGGCUCCCUGCUGCGCUGGGCUGCAGAUAUCCAUUCCUGUUGGCUCUGCCUACGCGAGGCCCCCGGGAUCGGUCUGCCUUGCACCACCUUCGCUGCUCUCCGGUUCGACCACCGCCUUCUCCCAGCCGGCCCUGCUGCCUCACCCCCACCUCCACAACCUGUUCUCAGGAGGAUGGCCAGAGCAACCCCUGUGCCCUCAGCCAGCUGUCUUCUGCUCAAGCCUCCCCGCCCCCCCAUAGUAAAAGGCAGAGCCUGGACCAUGGCCUGGGAGGCUCCGUUCUGUCUGACUCUGCCACUACGUCCGGCUCCAGCCUCUGCGCGCCCACCCGCCCCUGCCUCGCCCAUCUUGGCCGGGCUGUCUCCUGCAGCGGCUCCCUCCUUGGGACCUUAGGAGGGGCUGCAACACUUGACCUUAGACAGCCACACGGCAGCCCCGGCACCUCUGCCAGCUCUUUGGGCAAAUCCCACGCUCAGUGAGGCGCCCUGACUGUCCUGUUUGAAAUGUCACCCUCACCCCAGGGACCUUCUGCCUUGAUUUAUUUUUCUGUACCUUCCUCCACCUCCUGACCUGUGUUCCACUUGUUGGGUUGUGAAGGAAACCAAAAUACACCACCCCAGAAUAGACUUCUGGGACUUAUUUCCAGCUGUUUAUUCAGAGAAGCUGCAGACGGGAUCACUCUGAAAACCUGUCUUUUUGUGUGUGUGUUGGGGGUGGAUUUCAUCCCUGGAG
rnacentral:lncRNA from 10 species